CGGAUUGCAGGCUGAAACUCGCCUGCAUGAAGUCGGAAUUGCUAGUAAUCGCGGAUCAGCAUGCCGCGGUGAAUACGUUCCCGGGUCUUGUACACACCGCCCGUCACACCAUGGGAGUCGGAAAUGCCCGAAGUCAGUGACCUAACCGAAAGGAGGGAGCUGCCGAAGGUGGAGCCGGUAACUGGGGUGAAGUCGUAACAAGGUACC
rnacentral:rRNA from 1 species